AUCUAUGGCCAUACCACCCUGAACACGCCAGAUCUCCUCUGAUCUCGGAAGCUAAGCAAGGCCGGGCCUGGUUAGUACUUGGAUGGGAGACCACCUGGGAAUACCAGGUGCUGUAGGCU